rnacentral:lncRNA from 1 species
AAAUAGGGUUCUGGUAUACUCGGUUGUAAGGGAAAUGGUGUCAUAAAGGGAAUCAGGAAAAUGCCAUUAAAUGGUUACCAAAAAGGAGAAGAAAGCAUGGAGGAAAGUAUAAAGGCUACGAGUGUGGACCUGAGACAAAGUGGUUGCUACCUGCAAGAAGCUUGGAAGAGUGAGCAGAUACAGAAGGACAAGAAGACUGCCAGAAGGUAUUUGUAAUUGAAGGACAAGACGGAUUUUAAGAGAUGAUGGAUCAUUUAGAAGACAUCGUAUCUCAAGUACCAAGCUGUGGAGAACUGGACAAGGAGAUGUUUCUUUCUUUUCCUGCACCUGUGUCUUGCCAACAAACACUAUAUGUGCCAGUUCAUCACAAACUGAUGACAAGGAGGAGCAAGCAAUCGAUGGUCAGGUUGUGACUGCGAUGAAGGCAAUAACAACAGUACUGGAGCAAGAAAUCCCAGAGCAGCUUGACAGACAAAAACUUAUACAUGAGACAGGCAUACCUGCUUUGAAGCAUAUUUUAGAAGAUAUACAGCUGAAAGGACCAGGAAAUGUAACUUUUAAAAUUCUGGUUGUACUCUUUUUGGUUAAAUUAUGGAAAAGGCUGUGA